CCUUUUGUAUAAUGGGUCAGCGACUUAUAUUCUGUAGCAAGGUUAACCGAAUAGGGGAGCCGAAGGGAAACCGAGUCUUAACUGGGCGUUAAGUUGCAGGGUAUAGACCCGAAACCCGGUGAUCUAGCCAUGGGCAGGUUGAAGGUUGGGUAACACUAACUGGAGGACCGAACCGACUAAUGUUGAAAAAUUAGCGGAUGACUUGUGGCUGGGGGUGAAAGGCCAAUCAAACCGGGAGAUAGCUGGUUCUCCCCGAAAGCUAUUUAGGUAGCGCCUCGUGAAUUCAUCUCCGGGGGUAGAGCACUGUUUCGGCAAGGGGGUCAUCCCGACUUACCAACCCGAUGCAAACUGCGAAUACCGGAGAAUGUUAUCACGGGAGACACACGGCGGGUGCUAACGUCCGUCGUGAAGAGGGAAACAACCCAGACCGCCAGCUAAGGUCCCAAAGUCAUGGUUAAGUGGGAAACGAUGUGGGAAGGCCCAGACAGCCAGGAUGUUGGCUUAGAAGCAGCCAUCAUUUAAAGAAAGCGUAAUAGCUCACUGGUCGAGUCGGCCUGCGCGGAAGAUGUAACGGGGCUAAACCAUGCACCGAAGCUGCGGCAGCGACGCUGAUGCGUUGUUGGGUAGGGGAGCGUUCUGUAAGCCUGCGAAGGUGUGCUGUGAGGCAUGCUGGAGGUAUCAGAAGUGCGAAUGCUGACAUAAGUAACGAUAAAGCGGGUGAAAAGCCCGCUCGCCGGAAGACCAAGGGUUCCUGUCCAACGUUAAUCGGGGCAGGGUGAGUCGACCCCUAAGGCGAGGCCGAAAGGCGUAGUCGAUGGGAAACAGGUUAAUAUUCCUGUACUUGG
rnacentral:rRNA from 1 species